GCCCGGGUGGUGAAAUGGUAGACACGAGGGACUUAAAAUCCCUUGGUCCGUAAGGGCUGUGCCGGUUCGAGUCCGGCCCCGGGCACCA
rnacentral:tRNA from 1 species